CGGGUGAGUAACACGUGGAUAACCUACCUAUAAGACUGGGAUAACUUCGGGAAACCGGAGCUAAUACCGGAUAAUAUAUUGAACCGCAUGGUUCAAUGGUGAAAGACGGUUUUGCUGUCACUUAUAGAUGGAUCCGCGCCGCAUUAGCUAGUUGGUAAGGUAACGGCUUACCAAGGCAAUGAUGCGUAGCCGACCUGAGAGGGUGAUCGGCCACACUGGAACUGAGACACGGUCCAGACUCCUACGGGAGGCAGCAGAC
rnacentral:rRNA from 1 species